rnacentral:lncRNA from 1 species
CUAACAAUUAAAUAAAAUACUCUAUUUAAAAGUUGAGGUAUUACAACUCUCCCCAACUUAAAAGGAUUUUCUCCCGUGAAAAUUACUUAGAGAAAAAAAUCUGGAUAGGAUUCCUUCAUCUCACUCUCCACUCCCAAGUCAGACUCCCUCCAACAAGUCCUCCAUAUACCACCUUCACUAAAGCAAUCUCAUUCCCUUUGG